rnacentral:tRNA from 1 species
CAGAGGGUAGUUUAAUAUAGAACGCGGGCUUUGGGAGCCGGUGGCGGGAGUUUAAAUCUCUCCCCUCUGA